CCGUGAUCCGGUUCAGGGACAGUGUCAGGUGGGCAGUUUGACUGGGGCGGUCGCCUCCUAAACAGUAACGGAGGCGCCCAAAGGUUCCCUCAGAAUGGUUGGAAAUCAUUCGUAGAGUGCAAAGGCAUAAGGGAGCUUGACUGCGAGACCUACAAGUCGAGCAGGGACGAAAGUCGGGCUUAGUGAUCCGGUGGUUCCGCAUGGAAGGGCCAUCGCUCUAGGGUUAAAAGCUACCCUGGG
rnacentral:rRNA from 1 species